rnacentral:rRNA from 1 species
AUUGAACGCUGGCGGCAGGCCUAACACAUGCAAGUCGAGCGGAUGAAGGGAGCUUGCUCCUGGAUUCAGCGGCGGACGGGUGAGUAAUGCCUAGGAAUCUGCCUGGUAGUGGGGGAUAACGUCCGGAAACGGGCGCUAAUACCGCAUACGUCCUGAGGGAGAAAGUGGGGGAUCUUCGGACCUCACGCUAUCAGAUGAGCCUAGGUCGGAUUAGCUAGUUGGUGGGGUAAAGGCCUACCAAGGCGACGAUCCGUAACUGGUCUGAGAGGAUGAUCAGUCACACUGGAACUGAGACACGGGCCAGACUCCUACGGGAGGCAGCAGUGGGGAAUAUUGGACAAGGGGCGAAAGCCUGAUCCAGCCAUGCCGCGUGUGUGAAGAAGGUCUUCGGAUUGUAAAGCACUUUAAGUUGGGAGGAAGGGCAGUAAGUUAAUACCUUGCUGUUUUGACGUUACCAACAGAAUAAGCACCGGCUAACUUCGU